GACGAACGCUGGCGGCGUGCUUAACACAUGCAAGUCGAACGGAAAGGCCUGCUUUCCCUUGUGGAUUGCGGGUACUCGAGUGGCGAACGGGUGAGUAACACGCGAGUGAUCUGCCCCCAACUUGGGUAUAAGCCUGGGAAACUGGGUCUAAUUCCCGAUAGGACUGCAGGGUGGUGCCUGCGGUGGAAAACGAUUUUCUAGUGGUUGGGGAUGAGCUCGCGGCCUAUCAGCUUGUUGGUGGGGUAAUGGCCUACCAAGGCGGCGACGGGUAGCCGGCCUGGGAGAGUGGACGGGCACAUUGGGACUGAGAUACGGCCCAGACGCCUACGGGAGGCAGCAGUGGUGGAUAUUGCACGAUGGGCGGAAGCCUGAUGCAGCGACGCCGCGUGGGGGAUGACGGCCUUCGGGUUGUAAACUCCUUUCGACCGCGAGGAAGCCACCUGGUUGGAAGGGUGGUGACGGUAGUGGUAGAAGAAGCACCGGCUAACUACGU
rnacentral:rRNA from 1 species